GUGUUUCAGCUUGGCGCGGUGGAGAGAGCGUAGCGGCGGCGCGAGAGGGUGCGACGGUGGGGGUAACCGGUAGCUCGGACAGCUCCGUGCUUCUUCGGCGCGAUUCGAGCGCUCAGUCCGACCCGGACGUCCGUGGGAGAUGUGUCUGUCGCUUUUUCGCCGCCGGCACGUACGCACGCAAGGACGCACCGGUGUUGUUCGCGCACGUUGCUCUCGUCUUCAAAUAAUAUAACAAUCCUCGUUAUAGGCCAAUCGAACGAACGAUUCUCGUCGUCCACGUUUUCCUUGAAAACGAUCGCAGAGAUUUUUCCUCUUUUUUUUUUUUCUCGCCCUCCCCUCAAAUCGACGAGAAGAAAGGAAAAACAACAAAGGUCAUCGUCGUCGUUCGUUUACAUUAUCGUUUACAUCCCUCGCGGGACGCGCCAAACGACUCGCGUGACUUUUUCUCCUCUCGUUUAUCUCAAAGGAUAUAAUAAUAUUUAAGAGGAUUCGAAUUUUUUUGAGGGAAGAAAAAGGGAGAAAGAAAAUUUCGUAUUCGGAGUGUGAUAGAACAGACCAGUAACAGAACGGACGAGCGAGAGUAGGUUGCUCGAGAGAGAAAAGGUGCAUCGAGGGACGAAGAAGUUUUAAGUGCGACGGAUAUUCAACUACGACGUCCAUCUUUGAUUUUUUACGAUUUAUUAUUAUACCAUGAAAGACGACGGGCACGACGGAUUCAAAGUAUAAUUUCAAGAAUUGAAGAAAGGAUGAUGAAAAAAAUAAGGGUUGAAGAGUUAUUACCGUGAAAGAAAGAGAGAGAGAGAGAGAGAGAGAGAAAGAGAAAAAAGAGGGAGAGAGAGAGAGAGAGAGAUGAGAGAGAAAGAGUGAGAAAGAGAAGGAGAGACGACUGAAAGUGUCGAAGGUUUUUUUGUUCGAGCGACUACACGAAGGGCGACGAAGGAAAACGAAGUUCGGGCGAAUGUAUAAAGGAGUGAAAGAGAGGAAAGAGAGGAAAAAAAGAUAGAGAAAGGCUAAGGAAGGAAAUAGAAAUAUAGAGAUUCGUGGUUCCGGUUAGUUUCUACUGUGUGUCACGUGACCUUAUAAAGGAUAUUUACUGUGCUUCGUGUUUUUUUUUUUUUUUACGACGAUCGUGCUUGCUUUCUUCGUCGUCCUGUUGAGAAAAGAGAAAAAGAGGCUCUGGCUUUAUUUCUUCGUUUAAGAGACAUCAAGACUACUUCUUUAUUGAAAUCUGCGUUCUACUUGGAAAAUACGACGACGACUCAUAGCUUCUGGAUUCGAGCGAGUUCGCGCCCGAAAAGACGCCUUCGGCUUUGAAUUUUGCACGCGAUUCCGGCCGAGCCUUAUCCGUGUUGCAGAUAAACCAACCAACCAACCAACCUACCAACGGAAUAACGGUUAUUGCGCCUGCCAUUUCUACGAGUCUCGCGGUAAAAGAGAGAGAAAAAAUCUUUGACAUUUCAAUAAUUCGCCCGCGAUAAAACCGUGUCGAGGUACGUAGAGAGAAGGUAGCUAACAGUCUACCUAGGUAGGUAUUUCUAUUUUUCCGAAUGGAAAAAGAUCGUGGCUGCAUCUCGAGAGCUUGACGUAAACGCAGCCAACUAAAAUCAAUAUUCUUUGUGGUAUGUAUUUAACGAAGAAAAAAGAAAAAAGAAAAAAGAAAAAAUUUAUUUCGUAAAAUAUAAAAAAAAUUAUUGGUUUGCUAUAAGAGAGGUAGAGAUAUAAAGAUGGAAAUAUAAAGUGUGUGUGUGUGUGUGUGUGUUUGUAUGUGUGUGUGAAAGAGAGAGAGAGAGAGAUUGAAAUUAUAAAUCGUUAUGAAAAACUAGUUAUGCUUAAAAUUAGAUACGAUUGAUUUGGUAGUUCAAUAUUUAAUAACAUAUUCGAGCAAAAUUUAAUAAUUGGAAACGUGAUACCGUUUAAUCUAGUACAAAAUAAUUGAUCAACCGCUAAUUAAUUUCUAAUAUCUACGAAUACUCAGGAUUCUCGUUUAGAUUCAUUCGGUUCAUUUAUAAAAAUGGUAAAUUAAUUAACAGUAAUCGAAUAGCGAUGAACAUGAUUGCGGCUUUGAUAAUGGUGUUAAUUCAUAGACACGUUAAAUGUGAGAUGCAUCACUGAUAUAGUCUAUCAUUUCUUAUUAAUCAUUACUUAUUAUUAUGUUUUAGAGUGAAAUUUGCCAAAAUGUUAUCGACAUUUGUAAUAUAGUACCCAUUAGAUUUCUCUAUAUUCAUUAUCGAUUUUCGUUCAAUCGGUUGAUAUUUCCCAUGAUAUAAUAUAGAAUAGUCUAUUAACUCUGUAUAUAACCAUUCUCGCUAAAGUGAAUAUUUACAAUGUCAUUAGAUAUGGCCUCGAUCUAUAGGUAGCACAUUAAUUGCACCGUACUCGUAACAGUUUUAUAUGUGUUUCUCAAAGAAGAAAAAUAUUUCGCGAAAACGCGUUUCAUUAAUGAGAUGCAUAUGCAUCGUAGCGUGCUGUUCGACAUCGCGUAAAAUUAACUCGAGAAUUAAGCUUGGUUGGCAAGAAAGACGGUAGCGAAGUUGAGCUUCGCGUUCUUUAAAGGAAAAAAAAAAAAAAAAAAAAAAAAAAAAAGAAAAAAAGAGAAAAAGAAAGAAAAAAAAAGAGAAAAAGAAAGAAAGA